rnacentral:tRNA from 1 species
CCUGGUGGCUCAGAUGGUAAAGAAUCUGCCUACAAUGCAGAAGACCUGGGUUUGAUCCCUGCAUCAGGG